rnacentral:rRNA from 1 species
ACGCACGCUGGCGGCGUGCUUAACACAUGCAAGUCGAACGGAAAGGCCCUGCUUUUGUGGGGUGCUCGAGUGGCGAACGGGUGAGUAACACGUGAGUAACCUGCCCUUGACUUUGGGAUAACUUCAGGAAACUGGGGCUAAUACCGGAUAGGAGCUCCUGCUGCAUGGUGGGGGUUGGAAAGUUUCGGCGGUUGGGGAUGGACUCGCGGCUUAUCAGCUUGCUGGUGGGGUAGUGGCUUACCAAGGCUUUGACGGGUAGCCGGCCUGAGAGGGUGACCGGCCACAUUGGGACUGAGAUACGGCCCAGACUCCUACGGGAGGCAGCAGUGGGGAAUAUUGCACAAUGGGCGGAAGCCUGAUGCAGCAACGCCGCGUGCGGGAUGACGGCCUUCGGGUUGUAAACCGCUUUCGCCUGUGACGAAGCGUGAGUGACGGUAAUGGGUAAAGAAGCACCGGCUAACUACGUG